rfam:Triticum aestivum genome assembly, contig: Triticum_aestivum_CS42_TGACv1_scaffold_405234_5BL
ACAAUACUCCCUCCGUCCGGAAAUACUUGUCAUCAAAAUGAAUAAAAAGUGAUGUAUCUAGAUGCAUUUUGGUUUUAGAUACAUCCAUUUUUGUCCAUUUUGAUGACAAGUAUUUUCGGACGAAGGGAGUAGUAU